ensembl:lncRNA
UUUGUUAUUGUGUAGGAAAUAAGGUGUGUGUGUGUGUGUGUGUUGGAGCACUUCCUCUUCAGUGCAGUGUGAAAGUGAUCACAGUUGAGACGUGAUGUUUGAGCAGUAAUUAGAGAAGAAGAAUUAUUCAGGCUUGUGUGUGAACAAUAUCAACAUCAUUCUUUAUUAUUUCUUUCCUAUUUCGUGUGGAAUCCGAGGUCACAAGGGAGAAGUCAGACCUCGGCACCCCACCCUCGGUUGGAGCAGAGUGAGGUCGUAUCGCAGUAGUCAGGAACACGUAAGGAGCCGUUGUCCAGAUUGUGAGAAGGUGCUGAAGCUCCACAUGGACAAUAGUCUAAUCUGGUUCAGCAGCGUAGCAAUAAAAGCUGACUCCUCCGCUGUGGCCCGUAAGUGACGAGUGUUUAGUGGGAAGGAAAUCCAUCAGAAUUCCUCCUGUAAAUAAUCAGUGUUGGAAAACAAAUCAGCAUGUAUCUGUGGAGUGUUUUAUUCUAACGCUCGCUUCAUUUCUGUACAGCUGCUUUGUGAUCAUCUCCAUCGUUAAAAGCUCUAUACAGACCACAUGGAGCUGAACUGAAUGA